UACGUAGGGGGCAAGCGUUGUCCGGAUUUAUUGGGCGUAAAGAGCGUGUAGGCGGCCAGGUAGGUCCGCUGUGAAAACUCGAGGCUCAACCUCGAGACGUCGGUUGAAACCACCUGGCUAGAGUCCGGAAGAGGAGAGUGGAAUUCCCGGUGUAGCGGUGAAAUGCGCAGAUAUCGGGAAGAACACCCGUGGCGAAGGCGGCUCUCUGGGACGGUACUGACGCUGAGACGCGAAAGCGUGGGGAGCGAACAGG
rnacentral:rRNA from 1 species